UUUAGAGGAAGUAAAAGUCGUAACAAGGUUUCCGUAGGUGAACCUGCGGAAGGAUCAUUACAUUCAGUAGCCUCGCUACUUGUUUAUACCCUUGUUUUUUGCGUACUAUUGUUUCCUCGGCGGGCUUGCCUGCCGGUUGGACAAAACUAUAACCUUUUUAAAUCUUCAAUCAGCGUCUGAAUUAUACAUAAUAAUUACAACUUUCAACAACGGAUCUCUUGGUUCUGGCAUCGAUGAAGAACGCAGCGAAAUGCGAUAAGUAAUGCGAAUUGCAGAAUUCCAGUGAGUCAUCGAAUCUUUGAACGCACAUUGCGCCCCUUGGUAUUCCAUGGGGCAUGCCUGUUCGAGCGUCAUUUGUACCUUCAAGCUCUGCUUGGUGUUGGGUGUUUUGUCUCGCCUCUGCGUGUAGACUCGCCUUAAAACAAUUGGCAGCCGGCGUAUUGAUUUCGGAGCGCAGUACAUCUCGCGCUUUGCACUCAUAACGGCGACGUCCAAAAGUACAUUUUUACACUCUUGACCUCGGAUCAGGUAGGGAUACCCGCUGAACUUAAGCAUAUCAAUAAG
rnacentral:rRNA from 1 species